UUAAGCGACUAAGCGUACACGGUGGAUGCCCUGGCAGUCAGAGGCGAUGAAGGACGUGCUAAUCUGCGAAAAGCGUCGGUAAGGUGAUAUGAACCGUUAUAGCCGGCGAUGUCCGAAUGGGGAAACCCAGUGCAAUUCGUUGCACUAUCGUUAACUGAAUACAUAGGUUAACGAGGCGAACCGGGGGAACUGAAACAUCUAAGUACCCCGAGGAAAAGAAAUCAACCGAGAUUCCCCCAGUAGCGGCGAGCGAACGGGGAGCAGCCCAGAGUCUGAAUCAGCUUGUGUGUUAGUGGAACGGUCUGGAAAGUCCGACGGUACAGGGUGAUAGUCCCGUACACCAAAAUGCACAGGUUGUGAACUCGAAGAGUAGGGCGGGACACGUGGUAUCCUGUCUGAAUAUGGGGGGACCAUCCUCCAAGGCUAAAUACUCCUGACUGACCGAUAGUGAACCAGUACCGUGAGGGAAAGGCGAAAAGAACCCCGGCGAGGGGAGUGAAAAAGAACCUGAAACCGUGUACGUACAAGCAGUGGGAGCACCUUCGGGUGUGACUGCGUACCUUUUGUAUAAUGGGUCAGCGACUUAUAUUCUGUAGCAAGGUUAACCGUAUAGGGGAGCCGCAGGGAAACCGAGUCUUAACUGGGCGUUAAGUUGCAGGGUAUAGACCCGAAACCCGGUGAUCUAGCCAUGGGCAGGUUGAAGGUUGGGUAACACUAACUGGAGGACCGAACCGACUAAUGUUGAAAAAUUAGCGGAUGACUUGUGGCUGGGGGUGAAAGGCCAAUCAAACCGGGAGAUAGCUGGUUCUCCCCGAAAGCUAUUUAGGUAGCGCCUCGUGAAUUCAUCUUCGGGGGUAGAGCACUGUUUCGGCUAGGGGGUCAUCCCGACUUACCAACCCGAUGCAAACUACGAAUACCGAAGAAUGUUAUCACGGGAGACACACGGCGGGUGCUAACGUCCGUCGUGAAGAGGGAAACAACCCAGACCGCCAGCUAAGGUCCCAAAGUCAUGGUUAAGUGGGAAACGAUGUGGGAAGGCACAGACAGCCAGGAUGUUGGCUUAGAAGCAGCCAUCAUUUAAAGAAAGCGUAAUAGCUCACUGGUCGAGUCGGCCUGCGCGGAAGAUGUAACGGGGCUAAACCAUGCACCGAAGCUGCGGCAGCGACACUAUGUGUUGUUGGGUAGGGGAGCGUUCUGUAAGCCUGCGAAGGUGNNUGCUGGAGGUAUCAGAAGUGCGAAUGCUGACAUAAGUAACGAUAAAGCGGGUGAAAAGCCCGCUCGCCGGAAGACCAAGGGUUCCUGUCCAACGUUAAUCGGGGCAGGGUGAGUCGACCCCUAAGGCGAGGCCGAAAGGCGUAGUCGAUGGGAAACAGGUUAAUAUUCCUGUACUUGGUGUUACUGCGAAGGGGGGACGGAGAAGGCUAUGUUAGCCGGGCGACGGUUGUCCCGGUUUAAGCAUGUAGGCUGGUUGUCCAGGCAAAUCCGGAUAAUCAAGGCUGAGGUGUGAUGACGAGGCACUACGGUGCUGAAGUAACAAAUGCCCUGCUUCCAGGAAAAGCCUCUAAGCAUCAGGUAACAUUAAAUCGUACCCCAAACCGACACAGGUGGUCAGGUAGAGAAUACCAAGGCGCUUGAGAGAACUCGGGUGAAGGAACUAGGCAAAAUGGUGCCGUAACUUCGGGAGAAGGCACGCUGGUGUGUAGGUGAAGNUGGAGCUGAGACCAGUCGAAGAUACCAGCUGGCUGCAACUGUUUAUUAAAAACACAGCACUGUGCAAACACGAAAGUGGACGUAUACGGUGUGACGCCUGCCCGGUGCCGGAAGGUUAAUUGAUGGGGUUAUCCGUAAGGAGAAGCUCUUGAUCGAAGCCCCGGUAAACGGCGGCCGUAACUAUAACGGUCCUAAGGUAGCGAAAUUCCUUGUCGGGUAAGUUCCGACCUGCACGAAUGGCGUAAUGAUGGCCAGGCUGUCUCCACCCGAGACUCAGUGAAAUUGAACUCGCUGUGAAGAUGCAGUGUACCCGCGGCAAGACGGAAAGACCCCGUGAACCUUUACUAUAGCUUGACACUGAACAUUGAGCCUUGAUGUGUAGGAUAGGUGGGAGGCUUUGAAGCGUGGACGCCAGUCUGCGUGGAGCCAACCUUGAAAUACCACCCUUUAAUGUUUGAUGUUCUAACGUUGGCCCCUUACCGGGGUUGCGGACAGUGUCUGGUGGGUAGUUUGACUGGGGCGGUCUCCUCCCAAAGCGUAACGGAGGAGCACGAAGGUUAGCUAAUCCUGGUCGGACAUCAGGAGGUUAGUGCAAUGGCAUAAGCUAGCUUGACUGCGAGCGUGACGGCGCGAGCAGGUGCGAAAGCAGGUCAUAGUGAUCCGGUGGUUCUGAAUGGAAGGGCCAUCGCUCAACGGAUAAAAGGUACUCCGGGGAUAACAGGCUGAUACCGCCCAAGAGUUCAUAUCGACGGCGGUGUUUGGCACCUCGAUGUCGGCUCAUCACAUCCUGGGGCUGAAGUAGGUCCCAAGGGUAUGGCUGUUCGCCAUUUAAAGUGGUACGCGAGCUGGGUUUAGAACGUCGUGAGACAGUUCGGUCCCUAUCUGCCGUGGGCGCUGGAGAAUUGAGGGGGGCUGCUCCUAGUACGAGAGGACCGGAGUGGACGCAUCACUGGUGUUCGGGUUGUCAUGCCAAUGGCACUGCCCGGUAGCUAAAUGCGGAAGAGAUAAGUGCUGAAAGCAUCUAAGCACGAAACUUGCCCCGAGAUGAGUUCUCCCUGAGACUUUAAGUCUCCUGAAGGAACGUUGAAGACGACGACGUUGAUAGGCCGGGUGUGUAAGCGCAGCGAUGCGUUGAGCUAACCGGUACUAAUGAACCGUGAGGCUUAACCUU
rnacentral:rRNA from 1 species